UCUCGGCUUCUCCCAUUGGCUGGCAGAGCUAUGCGCUCAGGGCGUGCACUCUGUUUAUCAGACAAAUGUUCAGCAUCCUGACAAAAAGCGACGUUUAUAAAGUGCAGAGUUCGCUGUGAUGGAUUACACCGCCUGAUCUUAUUAACACAACAGAAGAAGAAAACAGCUGAUCUUAUUAACACCACAGAA